UACAGAGGGUGCAAGCGUUAAUCGGAAUUACUGGGCGUAAAGCGUGCGUAGACGGUUAUGUAAGUCAGAUGUGAAAGCCCCGGGCUCAACCUGGGAAUUGCAUUUGAGACUGCAUAGCUAGGGUGCGGAAGAGGGAAGCGGAAUUUCCGGUGUAGCGGUGAAAUGCGUAGAUAUCGGAAGGAACACCAGUGGCGAAGGCGGCUUGCCAGAACGCGCUCGACGGUGAGGGAUGAAAGCUGGGGGAGCAAACCGG
rnacentral:rRNA from 1 species